CGGAAACGAUUGCUAAUACCGCAUAAUACUACUUUGAGGCAUCUUAGAGUAGUCAAAGAUUUAUUGGUACAAGAUGGGCCCGCGUCUGAUUAGCUAGUUGGUGGGGUAAUGGCCUACCAAGGCGACGAUCAGUAGCCGACCUGAGAGGGUGACCGGCCACACUGGAACUGAGACACGGUCCAGACUCCUACGGGAGGCAGCAGUGGGGAAUAUUGCACAAUGGGGGAAACCCUGAUGCAGCGACGCCGCGUGAGCGAUGAAGGCCUUCGGGUCGUAAAGCUCUGUUCCGAGGGAAGAUAAUGACGGUACCUCGGAAGAAAGCCCCGGCUAACUACGUGCCAGCAGCCGCGGUAAUACGUAGGGGGCAAGCGUUAUCCGGAAUCACUGGGCGUAAAGGGUGCGUANGCGGCCAAUAAAGUCAGANGNGANAGGCUACGGCUCAACCGNANUAAGCCUUUUGAAACNUU
rnacentral:rRNA from 1 species